rnacentral:rRNA from 1 species
CCUACGGGCGGCAGCAGUGGGGAAUAUUGGACAAUGGGGGGAACCCUGAUCCAGCCAUGCCGCGUGUGUGAAGAAGGCCCUCGGGUUGUAAAGCACUUUCAGUGAGGAAGAACGCCUGGUGGUUAAUACCCAUCAGGAAAGACAUCACUCACAGAAGAAGCCUCGGCUAACUCCGUGCCAGCAGCCGCGGUAAUACGGAGGGUGCGAGCGUUAAUCGGAAUUACUGGGCGUAAAGCGCGCGUAGGUGGCUUGAUAAGCCGGUUGUGAAAGCCCCGGGCUCAACCUGGGAACGGCAUCCGGAACUGUCAAGCUAGAGUGCAGGAGAGGAAGGUAGAAUUCCCGGUGUAGCGGUGAAAUGCGUAGAGAUCGGGAGGAAUACCAGUGGCGAAGGCGGCCUUCUGGACUAACACUGACACUGAGGUGCGAAAGCGUGGGUAGCAAACAGGAUUAGAUACCCGGGUAGUC